rnacentral:rRNA from 1 species
CCUACGGGUGGCAGCAGUGAGGAAUAUUGGUCAAUGGGCGCAAGCCUGAACCAGCCAAGUCGCGUGAGGGAAGACGGUCCUAUGGAUUGUAAACCUCUUUUGUCGGGGGGCAAAAGACGCCACGCGUGGCGGUCCGAAGGUACCCGAAGAAAAAGCAUCGGCUAACUCCGUGCCAGCAGCCGCGGUAAUACGGAGGGUGCGGGCGUUAUCCGGAUUUAUUGGGUUUAAAGGGUGCGCAGGCGGGAGAUCAAGUCAGCGGUAAAAUUGAGAGGCUCAACCUCGUCGAGCCGUUGAAACUGGUUAUCUUGAGUGCGUGAGAGGUAUGCGGAAUGCGUGGUGUAGCGGUGAAAUGCUUAGAUAUCACGAAGAACUCCGAUUGCGAAGGCAGCAUACCGGAGCUUAACUGACGCUGAUGCACGAAAGUGUGGGUAUCGAACAGGAUUAGAUACCCGUGUAGUC